CCGUCGUCCGGAGCGGCUGAUCGAUGAUGGAGGCGGACGGCGCUGGAAACUUACCAGGCUUGGCGGGAGAUCAUGGAGCUAUACAUAGCAUUGCAUCCUCCUCCCAAAGCAACAACCUUGUGAUGGAAAUUGGGGUGAAUGAGAAAGAGAGAGAGAGUGAAAGAGAGAUCGGGCCAAAGGUCACCCAAGCAGUGUCCACGAGUGAAGAUGGACUUGAACCCAGGUCUCCCUGAUUCCAGAACUGGGCCCCUGGACUGGAAAAAGACUGCAUUCAGCUCAGAGUUACACUCAGCAUAAAUUCCAGGAUCUGUUGGCAGAGAAAGGCAACUUCUGAAGUAAACCUGCAAUCCAUUCCAGAAAAAGUUUCUCAUUGCAUCACUAGGAACGUGACUGAUUUAGCUGAAUCUUCAUUCUUUCAAGUGAGGCCUGGCUGAGUGAAAUGGGAAGACAGCCAGUGUUUUUAACUGUCUGAACCUACUCAGUCAGAAAUAAGUGCCAUUGACUUCAGUGGGUGUUACUCUCAGA